rnacentral:tRNA from 1 species
GCGGGCGUAGCUCAGGGGUAGAGCAUUACCUUGCCAAGGUAAGGGCCGUGAGUUCGAAUCUCAUCGCCCGCUCCA